rnacentral:rRNA from 1 species
GGGAGGAGUUCCAUCACCCCGAACCUUAUCUUCUCCCCCACCGCAUUAGCUUCUGCCUUGUUUAUCCACUCCCACCUCCCCGACAGUGAGGCGGAGGCCAUGCCGCCGCGGCCGCUGCGGCGGGCGUCCAGGCCGGCCCCUCCGCGUGCUCCUCGCCGACGCUGGGGCACCAGACGCGUUUUCCGUUCCGUCUUGGGCAUAGCCGAGCGCCAGCCGGCUCAACCGGCUCGAGGUGUCAGGUCGCACCGCCGCAACAGGCGUCCAUGGCGGCCCCUCCUCGUGCUCCUCGCCGACGACGGGGCACCAUGACGCCGUGUUCUCCGUUCCGUCUUGGGCGUAGCCGAGCGCCGCCUGCUCGCCCGCGCCACCGCGGCGGGCGUCGAGGACGCCUCCAUUCGAGCGCUCCUCGCUGACGACGAGCACCAGACCGCCGGUUUUCAGGGUCCAGGCCGAGAGAUCCUGCAGCCACGCCCGAGCUGCGCAGCUCGCCUCCAACCCUGCAGCAGCCGCUACCUUGCCGCGCGACCGCUAAGCUUUUCAGAGGAGGAAUCUUUGAUGGUGAACUACGAGGUCAGGGGAAAAGUAGCCAACAGCUCGAGCGGUGCGCUCGAUUCAUGUCGCCGUCGCAGGACCACUGGUCCUUCGGGAGGCGGCGAGGCAGACGGGAGGCAGGCGUGGUAGGCGCAGCAAGCCUUUGCGGCAGUUGCAGGCACGGCUAGUAAUUUCAGGUGCUUCUUCUUCCAGCAGGCGUCACCUGCGAGUCUCCCAUCUCUUCUCUCGGUCAUGAGUCAAUCAAGCUCACCACCAGGGAAAAAUGGCGGCGACGGCUACAUCUGCAACUGCGGCGCGAUGAAGAUGGGCGGCGUCGGCUGCCACUGCGGCUCCUACCUACUAUCCAAAUCCAAAGGAAAUGAACUAAAUAGGCCACAAAGGGAGAUGGUGAUGUACAAGAUCUCUAAGAUAGGGCGCGAAUUACCUGUGUUUGUGCAGAAGAUGACGAAAAAUGAUAUACUGAGUCCAAACCUGUAUUUUUGCAAGGCAUAUGUUUCGAGGUGUCUCCCGCGCCAACAAGAGGGCAACCAAAUAAUACCUCUCAAAGUUUUGCUGGAAGGUAUGCAGAUGGACGCAAAGCUGGUCUUCACGAAAUAUUCCCAUGGGACGUGGCCUACUAUAUAUCGAAAAGACUGGAAGAAAUUGAUCGAAGAUGCCGGGAUGAAGGCGGGAGACAUCUGCCUCUUCCAAGUUGUAGACAGGAGCAGCAGCGGGCUCACGAUGAUGGUCCAUAUGAUCCGCAAGUCGGAAAUGCUGCCUCGCAAGGAAGGAAGCACCAGCGUCGAGGCCAGCGAGCCUCGCGCGGAGGAGACACGCUUGGCCCAGCCGGGAGGAGACGCCGGCAAGCCUCGCGCGGAGGAGACCCACUCCUCCCCGGCGGGAGGAUACGUCGGCAAGCCUCGCGCUGAGCCCUCCGGAGGGAGCGACAGCGACAGCCGCCCCCAUCUGAAUGUGAAGAGGAGUCUCUCGCCUUCACCUGGCGAGUCCCUUCAAAAGGAGAAGAAGAUGCAGUUAGGGGCCACGACGUCCACCGAGUCCUCAGCGAAGGCGCCCGCUGAGGAGACCCAUGCGCCCCUGUCGAGCCCUGAGGGGCGUGAGGAGAUGGCCCGCCAUGUUGAGGCGGCGACGGGGCAGACGGUGACCGAGGAUGAUUGUGUGACUUCGCAGCCGCACCAAGACUUGCCUCCCCCAGCUGGGAGGAACGAGCUUCGCAAGGGAAGGGGCCUCCGGAGGUGAGGAGGUGCCUCUAAAGGCGCGACGAGCCCCCAGCACAAGCCCACAGACGUGAAAUAACAUCAGGAUGUCAGCGAAAGCACAGACGUGAAAUAACAAUUUUGCAUCUGAUAGUAGGGUACUACUUUUACAAGUCAAAAAGGCCAAAACAAUUUUCAGCCCGGGUACUUCCACAUCUCAGAAUCACAUUUGUCUUCCCCAAUAGAGAACUCAAGAAAGACGAUUGGCUUAGUCAAUCAAUCGAUACGUGCUUCCAUAGCCUGAUGCACUUGCGUUUGUCUCGACCACGGCAGCAGAUACUUGCUUCCAUUGACGAUUGUUUUUGAUCUGAUCUGUAAUGGGUUCUUUACACCCUAAUUCUGCUUCAGGUGAUACGUGCAGAUGGGGAGUUGCUACAUCAGUAGUUACUGUGAGCUCCAGUACGUACGUGCUCCAUAC